CAUUCAACAGAUAUUCAUCGUGCCGUGUACUGUUUAUUCUCCAUUUGCCAACUCCACCCUUUUCUCCCCACGUCACACAGACCCACUGCAUGAAUACUGAUUACAUGCAGGUUUCCGGGGGUGGUUGUUUCCACUUGUAUAGACGCCAGAUUUUUCCAGGUCUUAUUGCUAGGUGAUCAUUUGUUACUCGUUUGAUGGGACAAUGAACAGCAGUAGAGGUUCUGGAGAUUAUACAUGUAAACGUUGCAACACAGACAAACACUAGGAGAAGGAUUAUGGUCAGAGUUUGUAGUACACUUCCGUGUCAGGAUCCAGGAGUGCCAAAAUUCAACCAAGGGAAUAGAUUCCUCCCUUGACCAGAAGUCCUCAGAACCAGAUAUGGGGGUAUUACCAAAAUAACCUACUUUUACUUUUUGUUUGUUGGUCUGUUUGCUUUCUGGGCCUUUUUGAGGAACAGCAAAGAGCUCAGAGGCUUCCAUGGGAAGAAUUUGUUUUAGUAAAAAAGAGUGAAAGCAAGAACUAAAACUCCACCAAGCCUCAGGACUUCACCCAGGAUUUGACCUGAAGGGACCUGUUGCAGGUGCAAAGAUGUCUCCUGUUCAUGGUGGCCCUUUUCAGCUGAGGGUCUUUCCACAACUUCCUGGAGGCCACGCUGCUGCUGCUGCUGCUGCUAAGUCGCUUCAGUCGUGUCUGACUCUGUGCGACCCCAUAGAGGGCAGCCCACCAGGCUCCCCUGUCCCUGGGAUUCU